GACUGCAUGAGAUAAUUUGUGUGCCUGUAUGGUAUGAACCACCUGUCUUGGCUACGAGUGCAUGAGCCACUUUCUUGCAUUAAAAAAUUAUUUGAUAGUGAUGUAGGACAAAACGAAUAUAGCAGUCGGUGUUUGUGAAGACUAGUCGCACAUAUUAUAUUAUGUUUUGAAAAAUUUGCGCAGUCGGAUGAAAAUAUGGCACGUUCACUAUUUGUUGAAGCGCACAGUUUUGAACUUGAAGUGCAUGAAUAAUAUCUUUAGUGGUGAUCAUGAUUCCGUAGGCUUCAGCUACAUGCAACGAAGUACAGGCAAUGAGUUGUCCAAAUUCUUUUCCUUAGAGCAUUCUAAAGACAAGCUUAUGACGACAUUUCACAAAUUGCCAAAAUAUCUUUUUCUCUUAUUGAACUGUACGAAUUGAGUUUCUCUUUGACGUUCCUUUUUUCCAGAAGGGUGUGCUACAUCACGCUCAAGGAGCAUACUACCGCAUUGGCACGUGCAGAUCAAUGGCACCAAGAACAAAGUUUCACUACUGCUUCCUGAUGUGACAUUCAUACAUCCUUUCUUAUGCACAAGGUUCACUAUGACCAUCAGGCAGUACCGCUACAUUGGUACAGACAGCUUGCACACUGGCUUUGGGGACGCCUGGGCAGAUAUCAUCAGAAGGUCCUCCCUGCUUGUGCUGUACAUCAAAUAAGAGAGAGAUUUCCAUCUGAAACUUACACUGGUUUCCAGUAUGCACACAAUUAAUAAGCCUUCUCAAUCAAA